GGGUAACAUCCGCUGCGCGCUGAUCGGCCAUUUUGUUGUUGGGAUCAGAGGGGACGCAGCGCACGAUAUCCUGUAAAUGAAUAAUAAUCGUCUCUUAUAGCGGGUCAGAAGUAAAGCCGAGGCACGAUGCUCUCUGCUGCCCAGUUGCUGGAUGAGUUGAUGGGUCGGGACCGGAACCUGGCUCCGGACGAGAAGCGCUGUAACGUGCGCUGGGAUCACGAGACCGUCUGCAAAUACUACCUGUGUGGCUUUUGCCCCGCUGAGCUCUUCACGAACACACGAUCAGACUUGGGUCCUUGUGAAAAAAUCCAUGAUGAAAAUCUGAGGAAAAUGUAUGAGAAGAGCUCCCGCUUUAUGAAGGAAGGAUAUGAGCGGGACUUCCUGCGGUACCUGCAGAGUCUCCUGGCCGAGGUGGAGCGCAGGAUUCGGAGGGGACAUGCGCGUUUAGCCCUGUCACAAGCCCAGCAGAACUCUGGAGCACCGGGUCCAUCUGGGAAGAACGAGGAGAAAGCUCAGGUCCUCACCACGAAGAUUGAGGAGCUUGUUGUUCAGAUUGAGGAGUUGGGCUCGGAGGGCCGUGUUGAGGAGGCGCAGGGCAUGAUGAAGCUGGUGGAGCAGCUGAAGGAGGAGCGGGAGCAGCUCAGUUCCACUCCUUCAACGAUUGAGAGUUUUGCAGCUCAGGAGAAGCAGAUGGAGGUGUGUGAAGUGUGUGGCGCUUUCCUUAUAGUUGGUGACGCUCAGUCCAGAGUGGACGAUCAUCUAAUGGGCAAGCAGCAUAUGGGAUAUGCUAAAAUCAAAGCCACGGUCGAAGAACUGAAGGAAAAGCUGCGUCGGCGCUCAGAGGAUCCAGAAAAGGAUGAGCGAGGCAAGAAAGAGCGGGAGGACCGGGAGCGUGAAAGGGAGGAACGCGAGAAGAAACGCAAAGAGGAGGAGGAGAAGGAGAAAGAGCGAGAAAAGGAGAGGGAGAGAGAGCGGGAGAAGGAGAGGGAACGGGAACGUGAGCGGGAGAGGGAUCGGGAGAGGGACAGGGAACGGGACAGGGACAGGGACAGGCGCAGGAGGAGUCACUCCAACAGCAGACACUCCAGCCGCGCGUCAGACCGCCGCAGGAGCCGCUCAAGAGACAGGAAGAGGUCCAGGAGUAAGGAGCGCGACAGGAGGCGCAGCAGGAGCCGUGACCGAGAGAGGAGGCGCAGCCGCGAACGCUCGGACAGGAAGCGACGUUCUCGCAGCAGGGAGAAGAGGAGGUCCCGCAGCUCUGAGCGCAAGAGCCACCGGCACCGCAGCCGCAGCAGAGACAGAGAAAAGGACAGAGGGGACCGAGACAAGGACAAAUCCUCUAGAGACAAAGAGCACAAGGACUCUUCAGAUGAGAAAAGGAGCAGCAGAAAGGGCUCGGUUGAGAAGUCUAAUGAGCUCUCCAAGCCCGAGCCCAUGGAGGCGGAGCCUCCCAAAGCAGAAGUGAACGGCACCGCGCAAGAGCUACAUUCUGAAGGUGACACACAGUCCAAUUAAAACUGAUCUGAUAGGACCUCAGAUCAGCCCCAGGUAAGUGCACCGUCCCGUCCGGCCCGGGUCUCUCCCCCUCUCCCCUUCCCCCCUUUUUCUUUCAGUUCUGUCUGUGAUUUUUCUUCCUGUUUUUUAAUAGUGCAUCGUAAGUAUGCACUGAAGAUGGGGACUAGGCUGAUGAAACGGAAGAAAGUAGAAAGAAACAAACCCAGAGGGAAAGGCCAGUGUAGCCCUGAAAAACAUGCUUGGAGGGGGAGUUUGAACAGCUGCAAGAGGAAGACCUGAAGACCUCCAUCCGACAACUCACCUCCGCUGCUUUAAAACAAGGUGAACCACAGAUGGUAGUGGCCUAUAUGAUAAAGAUGUAAAUGUAAAAUGGUCCCUUUUCAGCGUUUCCACAGGACCUUUCGUGGUUUAUUUUUUAUAUUAUGUUUGUUUGGUUUUCUUUGGUCUUACUGCUAUGAGCUGGCGUAGAUGCACAUGCAGGUCCACCAUUAUUUCUGUUAGUAUGCAUUCAGAAUGAAUCAAAUACUUGUGGCAUGUUUGUUCUGUACAGUCCGCUCUCACUUGACACGUUGGAAAUAUUGACGAUCGGUUUUGUUCAGUAUUUUGACUGGAAGCCUUAAAGGUCUCUCAACUGCUUUAUCUCUUGGUUUUCCCCUCUGUAUGCUAAAUCCCAAAUCUUUAUACGAUUUUAGUUUAGAGAAGUGUUUUCAUUUUGUUCCAGUUUUAAAAACCUGUAUUUGUCAUGAAUAAAAAUGAAGAAAAAAUGCUGUU